GGAGGGGCCGAGUAGAGGCAUAGCGAGCUGCGCUCGGAGAAGCCCUGACAAGGCGCCGAAGGACCCGGGUUCGAUUCCCGGCACCUCCA
rnacentral:tRNA from 1 species